AGCGAACGCUGGCGGCAGGCCUAACACAUGCAAGUCGAACGAACUCUUCGGAGUUAGUGGCGGACGGGUGAGUAACACGUGGGAACGUUCCGUUAGGUUCGGAAUAACUCAGGGAAACUUGUGCUAAUACCGAAUGUGCCCCUCUGGGGAAAGAUUUAUCGCCUGUAUAACGGCCGGCGUCUGUUUAGCUAGUUGGUGGGGUAAAGGCUCAGCAAGGCGACGAUCAGUAGCUGGGCUGAGAGGCUGAGAAGCCACAUUGGAACUGAGACACGGUCCAAACUCGGAAGGGAGGCAGCAGUGGGGAAUAUUGGACAAUGGGCGCAAGCCUGAUCGAGCCAUACCGCGUGGGUGAAGAAGGCCUUCGGGUUGUAAAGCCCUUUUGUUGGGAAAGAAAAGCAGCAGGUUAAUACCCCGCUGUUCUGACGGUACCCAAAGAAUAAGCACCGGCUAACUUCGUG
rnacentral:rRNA from 1 species